rnacentral:lncRNA from 1 species
UCCGUUGAUGUCUGGUUGAGUUUUACUAUUCGUCCGUUGGCGUCUAGUCGUGGUUUCUUUCUCCCAUUCAUCCGUUGAUGUCUGGUUAAGUCUUCCUAUUUGUCCGUUGGCGUCUAGUCGUGGUUUCUUUCUCCCAUUCAUCUGUUGAUGUCUGGUUGAGUUUUCCUAUUCGUCCGUUGACGUCUAGUCGUGGUUUCUUUCUCCCAUUCAUCCGUUGAUGUCUGGUUGAGUUUUCCUAUUCGUCCGUUGGCGUCUAGUCGUGGUUUCUUUCUCCCAUUCAUCCGUUGAUGUCUGGUUGAGUCUUUCC